rnacentral:RNase_P_RNA from 1 species
GAGGAAAGUCCGGUCUCUAUUUAGAAUAAUAUAGCUAUAUAAAAGAUAGUAUAGGUAACUAUAAGGAAAGUGCCACAGAAAUAAACCGCCUAAUUAUAGGUAUGGGUGCAAAGGUAUACUAAAAUUAUACCAGCAAUAUUAUAAUGAUAUUGACUAGGCAAACCCCAUAUUAAGAGUAAAGUGAUAUUUAUGGUUACAAUGAUCUAACUUUGUGAUACUUUUAAUUAUCUAUUAAGAACUGCAAGAAGUUAACUUUGACUCUAGAUGGAUAACUACCCUUUCUGUGCUUUCUGUAUUAGCACAUUAAGAACAGAAUCCGGCUUAU